UACGAAGGCGGCAAGCGUUGUUCGGAUUUACUGGGCGUACAGGGCGCGUAGGCGGUUGGGUAAGCCCUCCGUGAAAUCUCCGGGCCUAACCCGGAAAGUGCGGAGGGGACUGCUCGGCUAGAGGAUGGGAGAGGAGCGCGGAAUUCCCGGUGUAGCGGUGAAAUGCGUAGAGAUCGGGAGGAAGGCCGGUGGCGAAGGCGGCGCUCUGGAACAUUUCUGACGCUGAGGCUCGAAAGCGUGGGGAGCAAACAGG
rnacentral:rRNA from 1 species